rnacentral:rRNA from 1 species
CGCAACCUUUUUUUUCGAUAUGAACUCUAAAAAAAAAUAACGCUGUUAUCCCUAAGGUAAUUUAAUCUUAUAAUCAUAAAUAAUGGAUCAUUUACUCAUAUAUCAAUGUUUUAAUAUAAAAAAAGUUAAUUUAAUUUUUUAGUUGCCCCAACUAAAUAUUUAUAUAAAUACCUAAAUCUUAAAUACUUAAACUUUCAAAUAUUUAUAUAAAUAUAAAAUUCUAUAGGGUCUUCUCGUCUUUUAAUAUUAUUUAAGCUUUUUUACUUAAAAAUAAAAUUCUAAUUUAAAUUAAAUUGAGACAGUCUUUCCCUCGUCAAACCUUUCAUACCAGUUCUCAAUUAAAAAACUAAUUAUUAUGCUACCUUUGCACGGUCAAAGUACCGCGGCCAUUUAAAAAUGAUAUUCAUAGGGCAGGUCAGACUUUAUAUUAUAAUCAAAAAGACAU